UACGGAGGGUGCGAGCGUUAAUCGGAAUUACUGGGCGUAAAGGGUGCGUAGGUUGUUGAUUAAGUUAUCUGUGAAAUUCCUGGGCUCAACCUGGGGUGGUCAGAUGAUACUGGUUGACUGGAGUAUGGGAGAGGGCAGUGGAAUUUCCGGUGUAGCGGUGAAAUGCGUAGAGAUCGGAAGGAACACCGGUGGCGAAGGCGGCUGCCUGGCCUGAUACUGACACUGAGGCACGAAAGCGUGGGGAGCAAAC
rnacentral:rRNA from 1 species